GUCCCAUCUCAAGGCUUAAUUAUGUCGGCAAAGGUUGGUAUUUUUCCAAAUACGAUUAUAGUCUUAGCCUGUUCAAGCUGGUACGAUAAAACACCAUAAACCAGUUGGCUGGUAAACAACAUACAUUUAUUUCUUACAGGGUUGGAGGCUGGUAAACCGAAGAUCAAGACAUCAGCAGGUUCAGUGUCUGCUGCUUCCUGGUUCAUGGAUGACCACUGUAUCUCACAGGAAACAAGGGGCAAAGCAGCUCUGUAAUAACUGCUGUUAUGGCUUAUGUCUACAUGCCCUCCAAAGCCUCAUUCACUCAGGGUAGGCCUUUUGGGAGGUGACUGCAUCACAAGUACAUGAUACUUAUCAUCGGAUUACCCCACUGGUGAGUUUACAUGUGCUGUUGGGAGAUGGAGCCUGGUGGAGGGGUGGUCACUGGGGCGUGGCCUUGAAGGGUCCCUCUCCCUCCUGCCCUCCUUCAUCCCUCUCCCUGCAGCCAUGCUAUGAGCUGUUUCUCCUCUGCCACACCCAACCCCCCUGGCAUGCCAGCUGGCUAUGAACUGAAACCUCUACAGACUAAACC
ensembl:lncRNA